AGUUAAAAAUCUCAUUCAUUUGUACAGUUAAAAAUUAACGCGGUUAAUGGGAUAAUCAAGCAAUAAUAUGUGGCAUGCUACGUGUACCUCAUGCUAACAUACAAAGAUCAAUUUUUAACAACAGAAAUAGAAAGGAUUUUUAACA
rfam:Gossypium hirsutum cultivar TM-1 chromosome 5, whole genome shotgun sequence